rnacentral:rRNA from 1 species
GAACGACUCCCGGCAACGGAUAUCUCGGCUCUCGCAUCGAUGAAGAACGUAGCGAAAUGCGAUACUUGGUGUGAAUUGCAGAAUCCCGUGAACCAUCGAGUCUUUGAACGCAAGUUGCGCCCGAAGCCGUUAGGCAGAGGGCACGUCUGCCUGGGUGUCACGC